UGAUGGAUGCGCAGCAUGAAGUUUCUGCGGAGCAUGGCUUACACCCUGGGAAGAUAAGGAAAACUUUCUCUGGCGUUGCUGUGUCACUCCAUGCAGCUACAGAGGCCAAGCCCCAAGAGUCGCCAGCACAAUUCCAGCAGUGACUCUACUUCCUGCCCUCGAAUAUCAGGCUACAAGUUCAGGUUCACUUCAGCAAAAUCAAACCUACCAGGUUCGCAUAGGUCGUAUACUCUUUGUUAUUUGUCUCCAUUGCUCCUUAUGAUUGGGUUGUUUUUUUUAAGGCCUUUGAAACAAUUCCACGCAAGACAAUAUAAUCAUUCAUAAUACCAGUUUACCAUAUUUUUCUGUGUAUAAGACAACCCCUAUUUUUUGAGCCCAAAAUUAAGAAAUAAUUAAUCGCAACAUUCCAUGUAUAAGAAUGACCCCCAAUUUUAAAUUUAAAAAAACUGGGGAAAAUAUAUACAUAGUCUUAUACACAGAAAAAAUACAGUACUUAUUGGUUAGCAGAGUGGUUUUCGCCUCAUUGUAAAGUGCCCUAAGCAUGUAAGGAUAUAGCAACUAACAAAUGUGGUUAAAUAAAUAAGAGAGACUUCAUUUUCAUUUAUUUACCCUAAUAACUGUUUAAUGGGUAAGGCCCACAAUGCAAUGCUGUCAUUAUCCAAACUAAGUAAAUAGCCUUAAGAAGGCUGAUGAGGAGAAUUAUCACUGUGAAUUCUAGACAUGGGCAUCUGGUGAUUAUUAUUAUUUUGCCAUUUAUUUGUACAGUGUUUAAAAUAAAUUAUGUGCUACAAGGAUAAUUAAAAAAAAAAAAUCAAGUCUCAACCCAGAAGUUUGAGACUUGGUUUGAGACUCAGGGAGCAUGGUGUGGCCAAAAUCUCAUGGAGGGAGAACCAUAGGCUUUCCAUACAUACCAGUAACGGUAAUGAUUCAAGUAUUUCAUUGAUCUAAAAGCAACUCUUCAAUGUCUAGAUCUAAAAGUGCAAAUCAAAAGCUCAUUAUCUGGGGACUCAGAUGAGCUCUUAGGCACCGAUAUGUCUAAAGUCAGUGCUCACCUGCAAAAAGGUGUGAAAGUGGCAGCGGUUAUGGAGGCCAAUAAAGAAUUGGAUGCCUACAUUGACAGAAUUUCCCAAGCCCUUAUAGGCAUCCGAACGAAGACGUCAUCAAUCAGCUAAAAGAUAUUUCUCAAACUGCAAACCAAGUACUGAAUCUUACCACUACUAAUCAUGGUUAGCUCGUUCUACCUUAAAAUGCUUACUGUGGGCUGUUUCUUAAUGUUUGGUUCGAUUUCUACAUACAAAUUCAUCACAGAGAACUUCCCGAGAAAACGAUAAGAAGAAUUGUCACAACAAUGAUGCCAUGUAUCUUUGGAACAGUUGGCCUUAUUACGCACUGACAAACCUUCUAACAACUACUUAUCCAUUUUUGUUAAGAUGUUAUCUCUUAAUAUCUAGCCAUUUGAUUUUUGUGUUUCCCUGAAAGGUUUCUUGAGAACAUUAAAUCAAUAAAUGUCAACAUCUCACACAAAAUGAAGAUGAUUUAUGUUGCUACUCAGUCUAAAAAGAUAAUUGCAUGAAAAUCUGAUGGGCACAAAACCAUGUCUCAAGGUAACUAGAUCAGUCAGCAAUAGCACUGCAUUCAGUUCAAAGGGUAAACAAAAAGCCAAAGGCACAUAUUUUAUAGCCGGUCCUUGGUAAGAAAUUGCUUUUUAUAUAUGAUUCAUUUUUGCUGUUAAUAUGAUCCUAAAGCUACUCUAGUAAUUUUUCAUAAAGAAGAACUGCUCUCUGCAGCCUCACUGGAUUGGAAAGGUACAUUUAAUUUCGUAAAUAGCUUUCUAUAUCUUUUCUUUACAAAAAAUGAACUUUUACAACUCCAGAUCAUUUCAAUAAAUUGCGUCUUCGAAGCAAGAGCUUUCAACAGUUUAGAAGUAAUUGCCAGAACUCUUUGAACUGGUACCCAGAUGUUUAGCUAUCUAUACUGUUCAUUAACGUCGUAUCUUAAGAACCAUUUAAGAAGCAAAGGAAAUGGCUUAACUAAUGUCUAUUAGAAUAUGGCACAAACAGGAAGCAUUAGUCUGGAGGAAGCCGUGACAGAUUUAAAUGGUCUUGGAAUUACAGAUAAAAUAGGAGAAAGUGCUCAUUAAAGGCAUGGGCACCAUCAUGGAGGUCGUCUUUCAAAGCCAAAUGGUCGUUUUGCAUUUUACACAGAGUAUUUUAUGCAGCAUGGGCGUAGCCAGGAAUUCUGUUGGGGGAGGCAGAACCUCAGUAAGUUAUGCAUUUUUAUUGUUUUUUAUUGAUUUAGGGGGGCAGCUGCCCCUCCCUGACUCCAUUGGCUAUGCCGAUGAUAUGCGGGCUCACUGCAGAGCAUAUAUACUCAACAAGUUGUAGCAAUCAUGACUCCCUCCAGGAGUUGUGGAGAGUCACGGUGCUUAUUUUGCAUCCUUUCCCUUCAUAGCUCAGCAUGUAAUGUGUGGAUUAGCCCUAAAUGAUUUGAGGCCAAACAUGAUUUCAUUCAUAUUUUUUAGCCCUGGUGUGUAUGAUGAUGAUGAUGAUGAUGAAGGAGCAAGCCAGACAGGCACCAUUUGGGGGCUUCAUUUAUUUAUUUCAUAUAUUUAUACACCAGUUAAUGCCAGAAAGGUCUCCAAGUGGCCCACAAAAAUAUAACAAAGGAUUUGUGCUGUUUUCUGUAUUAUUGAAUUUGUAGGGAGCCAAUUUUAACGCAUUUUUAAUUAAAAUUCUUAAAAAGGAAGACAAAGAAAGGAUGAAACUUAAAAAAAGGACAAAACUAGAUGAUGGGUUGCAUAUGAAUGGGGGGAACUGAGUUGCUCUGGGGAUGGGAAAAUUAGUUGACCUGCCUUCUGUGAAAUCUAGAUUCUAGUAAAUAUUUCAAAAAUUUACAUACAUGCAUAUAAAUUGGCAAGGAUGCUUGGGUCUAUUGGGCUGGACUCCUAUUUUUUAAGUACCCAGCCACACCUUGAAAGGUGUAUCUAGGGGUUGGCCAGGUUGAUCCCAGCCUAAGGCACAGGACCAGGGGAGCUCACAAAUCAUGCCUCUCCACUCUGCCUAGGAGCCCACUCGGGGGCUGGUAUGCACACCAUGCCAUUCCGCUGCUGCUCUCAGAUUAAGAACACAGGUGAGGUUCUCUGGGUGCCUCGGCAGAGGAAUAUGGUCACUGGCAUGGGCCGUCACACCAGCUCAGUGGGACCCCCUCCUGAGUCCACCAGUGACACUAUUAGAAGUGUGAGUGAAGUGCCCAGUGGGGCUCAACAGUGCAAGGGAUGGGACAAGGCACAGAUACAGCUUCUUGCCAAGGGCGCAAGAGAGGCUAGGUAUGCCUCCACCCCUGACUUGAGAUAAAACAAAGGAUGAAGUGAACCAUGCUUUGAAGAAGUUGUGGUGGCUUUGACUCUCCUAGUAAAGAUUUGGAUAGCUGCUCUAUUUCGGGAGAAGAAAGAAUUUCCCCCUAGGUCAGAUGGCUGGCAUUUUUCAUGUUGCCCCCAGAGAACAUGGCAAGACUCCCUGGACAAAGCUUAUUCCUUUCCCCCAGGCAGCUCUGGCAAUGGGCACCAGGCUGAUUCCUGUUCCCUGCUUUUGGCUUGCUGUCUCUUUUGGAUUACAGCAACAGUCCUUUUCAGGGAGUCUGGCACAGAGAAUCCUGCCUCAAUGCGGUGGACAGAUGAUCCUUAACACCCCUACAGACCUACAAUUCUUUAAUUCUCGUUUUGUUUAUAAGGCUCUAUGCCACUGAAGAACUGCGCAGUAGAUCAGCGUGGGUUUUUCUGCCUGUUUACAUUUUUAACUGAUUCUGUCCUUUUUGUAAGUGGCCCUGGAAAUAUGAUUGAAGGGUAGUAUAAAAUACCUAAUCACAAUUGUGAAUUCAGGGAUGAUUCCUACAAUUCUUUUCGGAUUCUGAUGCAAAUGUAUCUGCUAUCUCAGCACAAGUAUCUCACACCAGUUGUGUAUGUGUAUUCGAAUCACCAAAAUACAAGGGGGAGGCCAAGACUUUGCCAACUGCCACUUUUUUUGCUGAAAGAAAUGGUUAUUUAAAUAGGUAGGUGUGAUGGCAGCUGGCAACAUUUUGACUUGGUAGGGCUGCAAUUUUUAACCUUCUUAAAACUUGUACAUGGAAUUCAGAUGGUAAAACAAUAAAAUGCAAUAUAAGAAAUAAAAGAAGCAACAGGAAUUCAAUUGAAUUUUUUUUUACUACAUCUUGCAUAGCACAUUACAAGAAGCAGAAAAAUCAUUAAGUGGUCCACUAAGUAGCCUCAUCAAUUUUCAAGAGGUCAGGACGAGAGAAGGGAGUUUGGGAACUACUGCCCUAAAGCAAUGUCCUUCGUGUGAGAAGGCAUCAGUUUACCCCAUUCUAGGGGAUCAUUUUCCUCUUCCUCAGCAUGACAUCUUCUUCCCAGAGACCUUCAUUCUCCAUGAUAGGAGAGGAAUGUUCACCCUGAGAAAGGGAAACCAUUAUCACAACCUCACUGAAGGCCUCACCCACCAACCUCUCUCAUUCCCUCAGGUUCUCUAGGUCAACUACUUUGUCCUAAAUCAGUGGUGUCCAAACUUUUUUCAAAGAGGGCCAGAUUUGAUGAAGUGAAGGGCCGUGGGGGCUGACCAAAGGGCCGACCAAAGUUGUUGAACUUUUUUAGGAUUGAAAUUCAUUGCACCAAGCCCACACCAAUGACUUCUGUCCAGCAGGCAGAUAAUCAUUGCACUCUGUGUAAUAUGGUGGAAAAUCCCAUGCAGCUACUACCUUCUUACCUUCAGAGUUGUUAGUGUUACUUGCUGUGCUUAUUCAAGUUGCUAUUAUUAUUUAUUGAGCUUGUUUGUGUGCAUUCAAAAGCCCUGCUGUUCUAUAUGUGAUAGUAUUGAUGGAUGCUUUAAACGCUGAUGGAUCUGAAGAAAACAUAAUGGGCUAAUGUGCCUGGAAUUUCACCACCCAUUCUACAAUUAAUAACUUAUAGUGCCAAUGCAUUACGAUAGUUAUUAAUAGGUCACAUUUUUCAUAUAGAGCAACUAGAAUUAACCACCCUUCAUUCGGACAUGAAGGGAACAUAUGUUACGCUAUUUCUUGUACUUCUAUUAUAAGUUUCAUACAUAUGUCUUAAUGGAAAGCACAGGCUCAUCUGGUAUCUCUGGAAGAGUUAUCUAAAUGAUUGCAAUCAAAUGGAAAUUAAAAGCAUCAGUAAUGUGCUGCCUCUUACAGAAUUCUUCUGCAGCAAAGUGGAAAUUAUUCUCAUCUUGUUAGACUUUCCUAGCAAAGUGGCCUGGAAGGAUAGAACUUGCUAACCAGAGCUAUUAUCCUAAAAGCACAUGUGAGUUUCUAAACGCUGCUGGCUCCAAUAGAAGAUCUAUACUUAAAAUCUAGGGGCUCAUAUACUUUUUGUAUCAGAAGCAAAAUGGGGGUUAUACCUCUAUUACAAUAUACAAAUUAAUCAGACAUAGUACUGUAUAAAUAGUGUUGAAAGUUAUUAAAUCUAAUAUCGGGAGAGCACACCUAUUAGGUAAAGAGGUAACUACAUUCAGCACCGUAACUACCCCCGGCAAAACAGACUUUCCUAACAUUGUUAGAACCCUCACAUAAAUAUAGGAUAUGACAUAUAUCCACAAAGGAACCCCUGAACAGAGAUGGGGAAGAAAUUUGUUUGCUCUGGAAUUUAAAGUGAAAUGACCCAGUUCAUCAGUCCCAGACUUACAUGUAUUUCAGAAUAUAGUUAUUAAUUUUGCAAUUCAAUUUUGAUUCAAAAAAACGUAGACAAUAAUGUGCUUCUUACAACAUGCAUAUAAGAAUAUAUAUUUUAGGGGAAGUAAAUGUGUAAGAUGCAUAUAAUUUAAAUGUAGAGGGGUUUUCAGUUGUUGUUUUAAAGUCUGCAAGAAACAGUUUUGCAGGCACUCGGUCCUAGGUCUGCUCCAUCCUAACACAGAACGAAAAUUGGCUGAUCCAUCCAUUGUGAUUCCAGAAGCAUGGUACCCAUCUAGGUGUUGCCAAAUGUGCAUACAACUCAAAAUACCAUAUUUUCUUGAAUGUAAAUUUUGGCCCAAUUACGUCACGAAAAUUAGGAUGCGCAUUAGAUUUGAUGGCGCAUUUACAUUCGCCAGCAAAUACUUUUUUGGUUUCAAGGUUUUGAAAACUGAGGUGCGCAUUAGAUUCUAUGGUGCAUUAGAUCUGUGUAAAUACAGUAUCUUGUUUGUAUUUUUUAAGUUGCUUAAUUGUGUGUUGCUGUCAUCUAAAUUGUCCUGGGAACAGGAUUGAAGGGUAGUAAUAAAUAUGAUACAAAUAUUUAGCUAGAUAAAUUAAUCAACAUUCCACUGGCCUCCUUUGCAGGUGCCACAGAACACAGCCUUCUCCAACCUGGUGCCCUUCAUAUGUUGUUGGACUACAACAUCCCAGCCAGCACGGCCAGUGGUCUGGAAUGAUGGCAACUUGCUUACUGGACGAGUCAACACUCUUUAGUGGGUAAAGUGAUAAGGCAGUUAGGCAUGGGGUGAAUACCAAGGCUAUCAAUGAGGUUGCCAGCCUGCAAACACCUAUUCCUGCUUGGAGAUUUCAAUGCCAGAGUUGGGGAUGAUCAUCACACAUGGGACAACUGCAUAAACCACUUUGGUACUGGCAGCAUGAAUGAAAACUGCAUAUGCUACUUGAGCUGUGCUCGCAUCACAGCCUCUGCAUCAGAAACACGUUCUUCUCUACCAAGACAAAACAGUGAGUGUCCUGGAGAUAUCUAAGGUCAAGCCACUGACACCACCUGGAGCUGAUUGUCACUAGGCAAUCGGCACUGUGUUCAUGUCACACAUAGCUGCCACAGUGCCAACUGUGGCACAGAUCACUCCCUGUGGGCGAGCAAAAUCUUUCUCCGUCCAAAGAGGAAUCACAGCACUAAGCAGAGAGUCCAGCCACAAAUCAGCAGUGCCAGAACAACAGUACCUGAAGUUGAUGAAUACUUCUCCAAUUCUGCCGAACAAGCUGUGGGUCUAUUGCCAUAAUGGCAAUAGAAUUCUCUUUAAUGUUUAUUUUAGGGUUGCCAUUUGUCCGGAAUUUCCUGGACGUGUCCAGGAUUUAACUAGCGAAAAUAGCGUCCGGGGGAAUUUUGGAAAAUCAGCAAAAUGACCUGG
rnacentral:lncRNA from 1 species